ACGAACAUUCCUAUGAUCUUGUUGAUUUCCAUGAAAAAAACUGUCUCUUGGCAAGCUAAAUGAAUGUUUUAGGCUCAGAAAUUAAACUUAUUUGUCUUAUUGAGUCCUGGUUAUUGAUGAGCACAUAUUCAACUUGGGCAUUUAAUUUGUCUUCCACCAAGCCAGGCAAACACGUGUCAGUGUUAAGGUUGCCUUAGCGGAAGCUAAUAUAUCUGUGAUUUGGUGUUAAUUUUUUAGUGUUUUUCAUUGAAGUAAGAUUGUCGAAUUAAAAAUAGAGUAAAUGUCUACACAAGAUAUCUGGAUGUUAC
rnacentral:misc_RNA from 1 species